AUUGAACGCUGGCGGCAGGCCUAACACAUGCAAGUCGAGCGAGCGGCGGACGGGUGAGUAAUGUAUGGGGACUGCCCGAUAGAGGGGGAUAACUACUGGAAACGGUGGCUAAUACCGCCUACUAUCGUAUAACCCAUAUGGGAUUAGCUCGUGGGUGGGGUAAAGGCUCACCUAGGCGACGAUCUCUAGCUGGUCUGAGAGGAUGAUCAGCCACACUAGGACUGGGACACAGCCCAGACUCCUACGGAGGCAGCAGUGGGGGAUAGUACACAAUGGGCGCGGGCGUAAUGCAGCCACGCCGCGUGUAUGAAAAAGACCUUAGGGUUGUAAACUCCUUUCACCAUCGACGCGGUACCUGGGGAAGAAGCACCGGCUAACUACGUGCCAGCAGCCGCGGUAAUAC
rnacentral:rRNA from 1 species